AGAGUUUGAUCAUGGCUCAGAUUGAACGCUGGCGGCAUGCCUUACACAUGCAAGUCGAACGGUAACAGGUCUUCGGAUGCUGACGAGUGGCGAACGGGUGAGUAAUACAUCGGAACGUGCCCGAUCGUGGGGGAUAACGGAGCGAAAGCUUUGCUAAUACCGCAUACGAUCUACGGAUGAAAGCAGGGGACCGCAAGGCCUUGCGCGGACGGAGCGGCCGAUGGCAGAUUAGGUAGUUGGUGGGAUAAAAGCUUACCAAGCCGACGAUCUGUAGCUGGUCUGAGAGGACGACCAGCCACACUGGGACUGAGACACGGCCCAGACUCCUACGGGAGGCAGCAGUGGGGAAUUUUGGACAAUGGGCGAAAGCCUGAUCCAGCCAUGCCGCGUGCAGGAUGAAGGCCUUCGGGUUGUAAACUGCUUUUGUACGGAACGAAAAGACUCCUUCUAAUAAAGGGGGUCCAUGACGGUACCGUAAGAAUAAGCACCGGCUAACUACGUGCCAGCAGCCGCGGUAAUACGUAGGGUGCAAGCGUUAAUCGGAAUUACUGGGCGUAAAGCGUGCGCAGGCGGUUGUAUAAGUCAGAUGUGAAAUCCCCGGGCUCAACCUGGGAACUGCAUUUGAGACUGUACGGCUAGAGUGUAGCAGA
rnacentral:rRNA from 1 species